AUUUUAAUUAAACUGUAAAAAGCCAUAAUUAUAACAAAAAUAAAUGACGAAAGUAACCCUACAAUAGCUGAUACACCAUAGCUAAGACCCAAACUGGGAUUAGAUACCCCACUAUGCUUAGCCCUAAACACAAAUAAUUAUAAAAACAAAAUUAUUCGCCAGAGUACUACCGGCAACAGCCCGAAACUCAAAGGACUUGGCGGUGCUUUAUACCCUUCUAGAGGAGCCUGUUCUAUAAUCGAUAAACCCCGAUAAACCUCACCAAUCCUUGCUAAUACAGUCUAUAUACCGCCAUCUUCAGCAAACCCUAAAAAAGGGACAAAAGUAAGCUCAAUAAUAACACAUAAAGACGUUAGGUCAAGGUGUAACCUAUGGAGUGGGAAGAAAUGGGCUACAUUUUCUACCCAAGAAAAUUUAAUACGAAAGCCAUUAUGAAAUUAAUAGCCAAAGGAGGAUUUAGCAGUAAACUAAGAAUAGAGUGCUUAGUUGAAUCAGGCCAUGAAGCACGCACACACCGCCCGUCACCCUCCUCAAGUAAAUAUGAUAUACUUAAACCUAUUUACAUAUAUCAACCACACGAGAGGAGACAAGUCGUAACAAGGUAAGCAUACUGGAAAGUGUGCUUGGAUAAAC
rnacentral:rRNA from 1 species